GAGUUUGAUCCUGGCUCAGAACGAACGCUGGCGGCAUGGAUUAGGCAUGCAAGUCGAACGAUGAAGGAGAGCUUGCUCUCUGGAUUAGUGGCGAAAGGGUGAGUAACGCGUGAAUAAGCUGCCCUCAAGUUGGGAAUAAUUCUCCGAAAGGAGGACUAAUACCGGAUAUGGUUUUUAUAUUGCAUAAUAUAUUAACUAAAGAUUUAUCGCUUGAGGAUGUGUUCGCGUCCCAUUAUGUUUGUUGGUGAGGUAACGGCUCACCAAGACUAUGACGGGUAGGUGGUCUGAGAGGAUGGUCACCCACACUGGGACUGAGACACUGCCCAGACUCCUACGGGAGGCUGCAGUCGAGAAUCUUCCGCAAUGGGCGAAAGCCUGACGGAGCAAUGCCGCGUGUAGGAUGAAGGCCUUUGGGUCGUAAACUACUGUCACAGGGGAUGAAUAAAUGACAGUACCCUGAGAGGAAGCCACGGCUAACUACGUGCCAGCAGCCGCGGUAAUACGUAGGUGGCGAGCGUUGUUCGGAUUUAUUGGGCGUAAAGGGUUCGUAGGGGGCAUUCUAAGUUUGAUGUGAAAUCCCGAGGCUUAACCUCGGAACUGCAUUGAAAACUGGAAAGCUAGAGUAUUGGAGAGGAAAGCGGAAUUCCCGGAGUAGCGGUGGAAUGCGUAGAUAUCGGGAAGAACAUCGAUAGCGAAGGCAGCUUUCUGGACAAUAACUGACCCUGAGGGACGAAAGCGUGGGUAGCGAACAGGAUUAGAUACCCUGGUA
rnacentral:rRNA from 1 species